rnacentral:rRNA from 1 species
UAAGCGAAGUGUGAAAUUGUGUGGCUCAACCAUACACCCAUACUUUGAACUGCAUAGCUAGAGAGUGGAAGAGGUUGCUAGAAUUCCUGGUGUAGGGGUGGAAUCCGUAGAUAUCAGGAGGAAUACCGAUGGCGUAGGCAGGCAACUGGUCCAUUUCUGACGCUCAGGCACGAAAGCGUGGGGAGCGACCGGGAUUAGAUACCCCGUUAGUCCACGCCGUAAACGAUGGAUGCUA